GCUCUGUUUGCUAACAUUCCUCAUUCAAAGCCUUGUUAACUGCCAGACGGGAGGAACACGCGACUCCAUGGGAAACCCACAUGGCCUCCCUAUUGUGGCAGGGCCCCCGAUAGGCUCUGAUUUUUGUGACAAGAGGGAGCAAAAGGAAGAGAUACGUUAUAGAAAAGAAAAAAAAAAAAGAAGCGGUUAGCCCAGCGAACCAGUAGGAGUGAGGAAAGUGGACAGAUUUGUUUGGAAAAUUCUCCCUCCGGAGAGACGCACGGACGUGUAGGGGAAGGCGUAUGAGGCUUUUCAGGGACUAAGAGUGGGGGGCUCCUGUCGGCGUGCCCGCCUACUCCUUGCAGGAAGAGGAGAAGCUGAGCUCCAUCUCUGCCCUUCUCCUCCACAGGAAGGCUAUGUGGGCUGCUGCCUCCUGAUGGCUCCAUCAGUUAAAUGCCAGAGAUUUACUCCGGAUAGGCGAUUACCCCGGUGUCUCCAAAGCCAUCAAAGUCUCAGGGGCUUCGAGGUGGAGAAACGCGAGAGGAGGCGAACCGGCAGACGGCGGAGCACCAGCACCGCAGAGGGAAGUGACCCGCCUGCUCCAGGUGACACACAGGAAGUACUCCAACUACUUUCUCUGAUUCAAAACACUUAUAUAUUUGUGUUGAUUUUGGAAGAAAAACUCCAAGUUUUUGUAAUAAAAACCCCUCACAGUCCUGGACAUUUUACAGUUUUUAGUCAGGUGUGUGCGUACAGUAUUGUCUGUUUUGAGUUCCUGCAGGUCAAAGUUCUACCCGGUAACAGGAGACGGCAGAUAAACUGUCCUUUGGGGUGA
rnacentral:lncRNA from 1 species